GGGGCUGUAGCUCAGUGGAUAGAGCAAGCGUUUCCUAAAUGCUAGGCCGGAGGUUCGAGUCCUCUCAGCCCCG
rnacentral:tRNA from 1 species